CCAGGAUGGGUAAAUCUGUAGGGAUGAGAAUCACGGGAAGGGUUAGUGGGGAAGUGGAAAACUGCUUAAUGGAUACAGAAUUUCCUUUUGUGUGCUGGAAAUGUCUUGGAAUCAGAUAAAGGUGGUUGCACAAUACUGUGAAUGUCACUCUUUAAAAUAGUUAAUUUUAUGAUAUGUGAAUUUCACCACAAUUGAAAAAAAUAAAAUAACUCUUCAUUUGGAAAAGAAUACCCUUAAGUCUGAUACGUAAAUGAGAAGUCAAAAUGAAAAAAAAUAACAUAUUUAACAAAUUCAAACAUGAGAAUAUACUGCAAGACACCAUAAGCAAAAAACAACUUAUAGGAAAGAAUUAAAGUUAUGUUGAGAGUUAAAAUGUCAAAAUGUGACAGAGAAAACAACAACACAUUACUGGAGUUUGUGAAAGAAAAUAACAGACUAGUGGAAAAAUUCAAAUAAAUAUAUGAUUUUAGGCUCCUGUUGAGGCUCAGAAGGUAACAAACCAUACUAGUAUAUAUUAUGAUGCUGGUUUGAUCCCUGGCUUCACUCAAUGGGUUCAGGAUCUGGCACUGCAAUGAGCUGUGGUGUAGGUCACAGACAUGGCUCGGAUUCUGCGUUGCUGUGGCUGUGGUGUGGGUCUUGGGAACCCCUAGCCUGGGAAAGUCCAUAUACCACAGGUGUGGCCCUAAAAAGCAAAAAAAAAAAAAAGUAAGAAUUUUAAAAGUAAAAUAAUCUAGAUUGUAUUUUAACACAUGCUAUUUGCUAGUGAUUUGGCAGUAAAAAUGAUAUGAAAGAUUUUCUUUGACUUAUAAAAUUGACCAUUCCUUUAAAUCUUAAUGUUCCAAUUUUUGAUAGGAAUAGCUAGCUCUCUUACACAUGAGUAGAAUGAGAAUACAUUGAUGAAGAAAUAUUGGAUCUAAUAUGUUAAAAUUUCUCCACAGUGGAAUAGGGUGUCCACUUAGGAUACAGUUGACCCUCAGUAUCUGUGGAUUCCACAUCCAUGGAUUUAAUCACCUAAGGAUUUAAAAUAUUGGGGAAAAAAUUUCCACAAUUUCCAAAAAUUAUGUCGUGUAUUUGCCCCAUGAGCAAAUACUUACAUAGCAUUUAUAUUAUAUUUCUAAAUAAUUAUAAAACAUUUACAUUGAAUUACAUAUUAUAACUAAUCUAAAGAAAAUUUAAAGUAUUUCUGAGGAUGCAUUUAACUUACAUGCAAAUAUAUUUGUUAUAAGGGAUGUGAGAAUCAUUACAUUAUGUAUAUCUGGGGAUCCUACAGAUAUGAAAGAGACUAUAUAUCACAUUUCACGUUCCAUUCAUUUUUUCAGUGUUUUCCUUAUUUUGACAAAAGAUGCAUAUAAACAAUACAAUGUGAUAGUCUAAACAUUCUGAAAUAAUUAUUACAAGAUAUGUAAUGUGUCACAUCACAUGUUAUAUUUUUUAGGAAAUUUCAAGAUUAUAUUACAUAUAUAAACAUAUUUAUAUAUUCAGUAUGUAACUUAAAGGAGUAUUAACUAAAGUGAUGGUGCUGAACAUUAGAUAUCCAGAAUUUAUUAAUUUUAUAGCUGAAAACAUUAUAGUCUGUAAUAGACAUAUUCCCCUUUCCCCAAAACCAAGGCGGCUAAUAACCACCAUUCUACUCACUGCUUCUAUAAGUUCGGAUUUUUUAGAUUCGACAUUCAAGUGAAAUCAUGCAGUAUUUGUCACUCUGUAUCUACAUUAUUUGAAUUACAACAGCAUCUUACGAAUUAACCAUAUUAACAACAAUGAGAGGAUGUGCUUUUUUUAAAGGAUAAAAGACAUUCCACUAUAAAUACAUACAUAAAAAUUUUCAUACUGCAACAAUCAUUCAACUAACACAAGGAUAACUUCAUAUUUUAUAAAUGUGAAUAAUAGUAAAAUUCACCUGGGAAUGAAGAUAAAUGUUUUUGACAUUAGAUUCAUUUGUUUUUCAAAAAAUGAAAAGGGAUUGCUGCAUUAUGAGUACUACACUUUUACUUCUUUGGGAAGAUUAUAUAGAACUUCAACAUUUCCAUUCUUGUGCAAAGCAAAGAGAGAGGAAAAAUAUGGCAACACCAACAAAAGAAAAAAUAUACUAUGGUCGAGAAAAAAAAUUGCUAAGUAGAAAAAAUGCAAAAUGACAACAAAAGAUACAAAAACCAGAAAACCAUAAUAUGUUAAUUAAAUAAAUAAUCACAAAUAUAGAAAAAAAAGAAUCCAACAUACUACACCAAAAAAAUUAAAUUUACAAAAAAACAUAUAAACACGUACGAAUACAAAAACUCCACAAUCUCACAUUAAAGAUAUAGCAAAGGAAGAGGAAAUGAAUCAUAUACAAAUAAUACGUUCCCGGGAGGGCUCUGCGCAAGGGACAGGGAGCCAUUCUGUGUCUCCUGAGCUGGUGGUCUGUCAGCAGGUCCGCCGGGCUACAGUGUAAACUUGGGGCCUCCCUUGUUUAGGCAGAGAAAGAAACGGGGGUCUCCGAGUCCCGAGUCCCAUUCAUCAGAGUCUGUGCCCUUCCUCUCCAGCAUCCUGGCCCUGGGUGGGGCCUUGUGCCUUGGCGAGGUUUGGUGGCCUUUGCAGGGUUCCUGUGUGAGAGCAAGGCCAGCCUGUGUUGCCUCGGGCUUUGGGUAGCCCUUUACAGGGGAGCCUCCGGGGCGGGGUGGGGGUGGGGGGUGGGAGCCCUGUGGCUGCAGGUUGGGCCAGCCGUUUCUGGCUGCUUUGUUGGGGGGCCAGCCCAAGGUGGUGAGCUCCAGGCCUUGGUAGGAAGCAGAGCCCGGCCAAAAAAGUCCCUGGCAAGACAGAGCAGAGCGUUGGGCCACCCGAAUGGUGGCUGCCACCUUGUCCGAGGCAGGUCCCCUGAUUUAAUCCCUGGGACAGAGAGAGUCACCCAGGCCUGUGGGUGUGUCCUUGGCCUUUUGCUUCUCUCCCAGAGCUGGAGCUAGGAAAAAUGGGGUUGGAGCAAAGAAGGGGAAAGGCCUGCAGGGGGUCCCGCCUCCUGGUCAGCAGUCGUUCUGCCCAGUGCAUUUGGUGAGCGGCAUGGGUCCAGGUGGCUGGUUCCUUUCCUUUUCUGUGCUUCUUCCUGGGACUGUCU
rnacentral:lncRNA from 1 species